GCGCUUGUGGCGGAAUCGGUAGACGCUGCAGACUUAAAAUCUGUUGGGAUUUAUCCCGUGCCAGUUCAAGUCUGGCCUAGCGCACCA
rnacentral:tRNA from 1 species